ACGGUUUACAAAAUGGCGACAAUGCCUGCGGAAGUUUUAGAAUAAAAGUCCCAUGUACAGCAGAACGUUGAAGUGUAUAUUUUAAGAGCUACAUCUCUGUUAGUAAAGCAUUUUUAUAAUAUAGUUUAAUAUUAACCUUCCAUUCAGUUUAAAAAAACCAUCAAUAAUAACAAGGAUGCUGUUGGUUAUUUAGUGUUGUUCUGACAGCUGUGACGAAGACCUAGAAUUUCACAAUAGCUCUCCACAUGCUGUGCUUCUGUGUUUGUGAUUAGUGUUGCUAGGUUAAGUCAGAUUUUUUCAUCAUAAUCUAGUCUCCCAUUUGUCAUCAGUCAAUAUAAUAUUAAGUUUAGCUAUUUUAUAAUAUUGAAGGUCUAUACUUACUCCUUAACAGGCCAUCUCAAAUAAAUGAAGUGCUGUUCAGACACAACUUAAGUAUAUGAUCUCACAAGAUGAAUUUCAUUUUCUCUCAUAUAAUAAAUUUGGCACAUAGACAUCAAGCUAGCAUCACCCAAAUAUAGCCACUAACCAAACAUCAGAUUCAGCAGCCAGUGGUAUAAAAAGGAGCGCAAGUCAGCACUGCACUUUUACACCAUAAAAAGUGCAUUAGGAAAAUCAAGCUCAGAAAUUAUUGAGCAGAAAAAAUAAUUUUUAUUUAAUUCCUAACCAAACAUAUUUAUAAUGGAAAGCAGUGAUUUACAGGGGAAAAUGUGUACGGUGGGAGAUCAUUACAUAUUUACAGUGAAUGUGGCUGAAUUUGCACCAGAAGAAGUGAUUAUAACAUCUACCAAUAAUUGCAUACAAGUCCAUGCAGAAAAGUUGGCAUCGGAUGGAACAAUUGAGAACUCCAUUUGUCAAAAGUGCCAAUUCCCAGCUGAUGUGGACCUAAUGUCAGUCACAUCAUUUCUAGAGAAAAGUGGCAUGUUGAGUAUUAAAGCUCACAAGCACAUUGGACAUACAUAAUGCAUGGAUAUAGGUUUGGAAAAAGUAUGUUUUACUUUAAAAUGAUUUUAAGAUCACAUAUCUGGAUUGUUAAACUUACAAAUCUGUUAUAAAAUUGUCGAUUUAUUUUAAUAAAUUCAAUUACAUUAUAUACACUGUAUGUUUAUAAUUAUACAUGUUUGUUAAUACAAUGUUUUUUGCAAGACAUUUUAAUCAUUUUCAUGACUGCUUGCAGAAAAUUGCAUAGCUCACAGAGAUU